GUGUGACGUGCAUCAUGCAUGAAGUACUGCUAUGUGUGUUCGUGUUCCUCGGGCCACAUGCCAACAUGGUGGCACCGCACUGAUGCCUGACUGUAGUGUGACAUGGUUGAGUGUCCUGACUCGUCCACCUCUAGUCUCUGCCUACAGUACUAGUCAAUGUCCUGGCACUGACACCAUUGGGCACCUGUUGGAAUCAUAGCACAUCACUGAAAUGGACUCUGCAAGUUGAGGGUAACAGGGUUAUGGAAAACUUUCGGAAGGGGCAUUGAAGUCUGGGAUUUCGUAUGCAGAUCAGUCCAUUGACUAGAUGUUCCAAACCAUCCAUCAUUCAGAACAAACUCAGGCGUGCUCUUCUCAGGCAUCCAUCUGUCCCCAAGUGUGAUGAGUGGAUUUUGUGCUUCAUGUCUUUUCACAAUGUUUGUGGCAUGACGACUCUGUCGUCUCUGAAAAUCAUACCAUCCUGGAUCGCUAACUCAUCACGAUAGCUGUAGUAUGGCUUUAGCUGCUCUGGAAGGGAGUUCCACUCAUCCAGCCAGCCCUCGAUGAUUGUGUGCUUCAAGAGCUGAAGAGUGUCGUCUUUCGCUCUUUCACAUUGCAUCUGUGACAGGCGCUCCUCAGGGAUAGGCAAAAAACAGCAGCAAGGCCGAAGAUGUUACUGUCUGAAGUGUGUUAUUUGCCGCGGCUUCCUUUGACAAACCUAGGCAGCACAAACCAGAUGCUACAAACGCUCAAAGAUUAGAUUUGCAGAAAAAAGUGUACAGAUUAUCUUCCAAUGGUAAACAUGGUUUAAGGCUUUUUGCCUUGUUUGGAACAGAUUCAAGCUUUUUGGAUCAGGGAAUAUAAGUAGAUGAUUUUCAGUUAAACGUAACACAACUUCUUUUUACAUAACAAACCCAUAUUUUAAGAACUGCUUUUCAGGGUGUAUUUUUGUGUAUAGAGAAAGACAUCAUGCAUGUUUUAAGUUACUUUGUCAUAUCCGAGUAAAUAAAAAUUAAUUACAAAGCAUUAGACAAAUGGUUCACUUAAGUGGAAACAUUUCAAAAUGUCUGUCAUAUGUACUGUUCAUAAUUGCACAAGGUAAUCACUAUCAUCUCUUUAAUUAACAUGUGAAAUAGGACUCAGAAAUUCUUGAGAAACCUGGAGAAAUUAACUGAUGUACCAUUUUCCUGCAUUUUCGAGAUUUAAUGCAUAAUUUUCGUUAAAUUGUAGGAACUUCUUGUUGGAAAAAAAACAGGUACCUGUAAUGGCUAUCAUGUUCCUAGAAAGUAUAUAGCAAGAUAGACUUUGAGGCUUACUACCAAACUUUCUUAUAUGUGCCCAAAAAAGUUAAAAAUUUAGAUGCCCUGAAAUUUCAGUCUUUGCAGAAUCUCAAUUUCAGAUUUUCCACAAACAGUUGAGUUUUUUGUGACAAACAUAAUUUACAUAGGUAGAAAUGGAUAUUUAAAUAUAGAAAGGCUUGGAAAUAUAUUGUGGAGUAUAUAUACUGAAGUAUA
rnacentral:lncRNA from 1 species